GAUGAACGCUGGCGGCGUGCUUAACACAUGCAAGUCGAGCGGAGCGGCCAACGGGUGAGUAACGCGUGAGUAACUGCCCCCCUCUCUGGGAUAACAGUUGGAAACGGCUGCUUAUACCGGAUAGUGGGGGAUGACUCGCGUCCUAUCAGCUUGUUGGUUGGGUAGUGGCCUACCAAUGCGACGCCGGUGAGCCGGCCUGGGAGGGCGACCGGACACAGAGGGCUGAGAGACGGCCCAAACUCGUACGGGGGGCAGCAGGGGGGAAUAUUGCACAAUGGGGGAAACCCUGAUGCAGCAACGCGGGGGCGGGAUGACGGCCUUCGGGUUGUAAACCGCUUUCAGCCAUGACGCGGUAGUGGCAGAAGAAGCACCGGCUAACUACGUGCCAGCCGCCGCGGUAAUUC
rnacentral:rRNA from 1 species